GGAAUUUUUUGAAUGGAAUGAUACUGAAAAUCUUACCCACAAAUGACAAUUUCAAGAUACAAUCAGUAGUACUUAAAUUGAUUGGCCUUCAUUACCAUUGCGCUAUGAAAAUGGUAUACGAAAGGACAAUUGCCAUUAGAAACAAAUAAGUUCUAUUAGCUGCAACUAAUAUUUAUGGUGGUCAUAAAAGAGAUUUAAAUGAAAUGAAACUUGUGUGCAUAAGAAAUCGAGGAAAACCAUUUUGAAUUGCUGUUACUUAAUAGCUGUCAGAGCGGAUCUGGUUCUUUAUCAAUGAUAUAAGAUGGGACAAUUGCUGUUAAAAAUCCACAAUCCGUACUAUCUGCAAAUAUUAUGGUGGACAGCCAAAAACUUUAAAUGGAAUGAAACUUGCAGGAAAAGACUCAGAAAGACCAUUUAGGACUGUACUUAAUAGCUGUUAGAGUGGAUGCAGUCCUUCAUCAAUGUGAGCUGAACAAAUUCAUGUUAAUGGACAUUUUGACAGCUGCUGUCACAACUCAACGAACAAGUUGCAGCUUUGGAGGAAAAUUUUUGAUUGGAUACAGAAAAAUGUCAGUCGUUUCAGGAUGUAAAGUUAAUAGAACCAGGGUUGGGCUCGACAUCUGUUGCCUUUUGAUAAUGAUAUACGAAAGGACAAUUGCUAUUAGAAACAAAUAAGUUCUACUAGCUGCAACUAAUAUUUGAAAUGAAACUUGUGCAGAAGAAAAUGAGGAAAACCAUUUUGAACUGCUGUUACUAAUAGCUGUUAGAGGGGAUCCAGUUCUUCAUCAAUGGUAUAAGAUGGGACGAUUUAACGCAAUUAUUGCUGUUAAAAAUCCACAAGCCGUACUAUCUGCAAAUAUUAUGGUGGACAGCCAAAAGCUUUAAAUGGAAUGAAACUUGCAGGAAAAGACUCAGAAAGACUAUUUAGGACUGUACUUAAUAGCUGUUAGUGGUCGCAGUCCUUCAUCACUGAUAUCUCUGCAUUUUCUUAACAAUGGAUAUCCCAACAGUUGCUCCUACUCGUCACUUUCCUCUUUCACUCAACAUAAAGCAGACUCAAUACUCCUCAAUGCCUCACCAAGCUUCGUUAGCUUCAUUAAUAGUGUUAUUGUUUCAAUAAAUUUGUUUAUUGGUUUUUAUCCUCUUACUAUAUAAUUAUAUCAGGCGUCAUUUUAAUGUUAA